rnacentral:misc_RNA from 1 species
UCCGAGUUGACCCCGGCAGUCUCGCAUGAGUCCCCACCACCCCAAAGGGCGUGCUGGCAACAUGCGACAAGGGUUGCGCUCGUUGCGGGACUUAACCCAACAUCUCACGACACGAGCUGACGACAGCCAUGCAGCACCUGUGUCCACGCCCCUUGCGGGGAGGAACCCGUCUCCGGGAACCGUCGUGGCAUGUCAAGGGCUGGUAAGGUUCUGCGCGUUGCUUCGAAUUAAACCACCUGCUCCACCGCUUGUGCAGGCCCCCGUCAAUUUCUUUGAGUUUUAACCUUGCGGCCGUACUCCCCAGGCGGAUGACUUAAUGCGUUAGCUGCGCCACCGAAAGCCCAUGGCCCCCGACAGCUAGUCAUCAUCGUUUACGGCGUGGACUAC